rnacentral:sRNA from 1 species
GCAAUGCGCAUGGUAAUUGGGCGCUUUAAUUAGCACUUUGAGACACGGGACAGAGAUGGGUGAAAGAGAGAGGAAGUUAGAUGUUGAGGAUUUAGGGAAGAAAAAAAUUGUGUGGUUAUUACUUUACACUCUGUAGAAUGGUUAUGUUUACCCUUCAUGUGGCAAAAUAUAUAGGUCACAGCUGGGACUGCUAAGCUAAAAUACAAUACUGCAUUUCUCAAUUAUCUUCGUACUAGAAGACAAGCUUUGGUACUAUUUGAUGAUUUAUUAUUAAACUACAUAUAUUAGAGCACUUGGAAGCAAGGUUGGGUGAAUGAGAGGAAGUUAGAUGGUGAGGCUAGAAACGAGUGUGGUUAUUACUUAACACUCUAUUUGAUGAUUUAUUAUUAAACUACAUAUAUUAGAGCACUUGGAAGCAGAUGCCAAGCAGAUGGGCAAGGCAUGGAGACAGUUGGAUGGGCUCGCCCAUAUUCGAGACGCCUGGAGGAAGCAGGUUAGUGUCCCAGACGAGAUCCCAGAGACAAAAGAAAAUUUGAUCGAUGUUAUUUAAUUUAGAUGUUUGCUUAAUUAAAGCAAAUAAUUAAUCCAUAAAACCAGUUUCAGCCAAGUAAUGCUAACUACACCUCGGCAGUGUGUCCUGAAGUGUAAUAUUUUGCAAUGUGUGGAUGUAUUGUAUUUGUCUGACGGGCUCUUGAUGAAACCAUGACAAGGUCUGUCAUAACGGAUGUUAAGUAAAGUCACGUGGGUAAGAGAUAAGGGCAGACGAAUCAGAGACACAAAUAACAAAAUAUUU